rnacentral:rRNA from 1 species
UACAGAGGGGGCAAGCGUUGUUCGGAAUUACUGGGCGUAAAGGGCGCGUAGGCGGCCUUCUAAGUCGAACGUGAAAUCCCCGGGCUCAACCCGGGAACUGCGUCCGAUACUGGAAGGCUUGAAUCCGGGAGAGGGAUGCGGAAUUCCAGGUGUAGCGGUGAAAUGCGCAGAUAUCAGGAGGAACACCGAUGGCGAAGGCAGCUCGCUGGGACGGUACUGACGCUGAGACGCGAAAGCGUGGGGAGCAAACAGG